UUACAGCCAUAUCACGUUGAAACACCGGUUCACAUCCAAUCACCCAAGUUGAGCAACAUCGAGCCUGGUCAGUAUCUAGAUGGGUGACCACUUGGGAAGACCAAGUGUUGCAAG